rnacentral:misc_RNA from 1 species
AUUGCUCCUCCUUUUGAUUUCAUCGUUCAUUUUUCUUCUUGACAUUCCCGAUGUUCUGUUUUUUCUGAAUUAAAUUGCCGUUUUUUCUCCCACGUUACAACAUAUUUUUGGUAGAUUGAAAUUUGAUUAAAUUUUUCCAGUAAUUCAAAGACUAAUAUCUUGAAAGUUUUCGUUUUGAAUAUCAUCCAAAGAGUUCACAAUAAUAUUUCACAAAUCCGUGCUCAUUUGUAAGCUUCAAUCAGUCUUUACAGAUGGCAUUCAACACGCAGCCGAUAGUUGCCAUAAUCCAGAUCUAACUUCCCAGUUGUAUCAACUGCAAGCAACUACGGCGUAGGUUUCAUUCGGUUUUUCGUAAUCUCCGUAAAAGUGACAGAUCUCAGCACCUGUUCAAAUUCAAAUUAUCAACAAUGGCUUCCGCGUCAGCAGUAGAGGAGCGGAUGUUGAAAGGUGCCCGAAAAAUAGUUCCCGUAUUAACUUCCUCGAAAUACAAGGGGCAAGAUGGAAGGAUCGGGAUAUUCGGAGGAAGCACAGAAUACACCGGAGCUCCGUUUUUUGCUGCCAUAAGUGCGCUAAGAGUUGGCGCCGAUUUGGCGCACAUAUUUUGCACCAAAGAAGCUGGGAUUCCCCUGAAGUCCUACAGUCCGGAGCCGAUCAUUCAUCCUGUUCUCGAUCAACACGAUGCCAUAAAGUUGAUAAAACCGUGGCUGGAUAGGCUGCACGUAAUUGUUAUCGGGCCUGGUUUGGGGAGAGAAGAAAAAGUGUUCAAAGUUAUCGCGGAUUUGAUCAGCAUAUGCCGUGAUCUCAAAAAACCCUUGAUCAUAGACGCAGAUGGUCUUGCUCUCAUAUGCCAACGGCCAGAGCUAGUCAAGGAGUAUCCUGGGCUUAUCCUAACGCCGAACGCCGUGGAGUUUUCUCGAUUGGCGAAAGCUCUAUUAGAAAAAUCUAUACAACCAGCUCCCGUUGCGAAAGUAUCGGACGUCAAACAUCUCGCCGACGUUCUGGGGAAAAAUGUCGUUGUACUUCACAAAGGGGCUAAAGAUGUUAUCGUGGAUGGGCAUAAGGGAACAGAGACCUUGUCAUGCGGGGUUUCUGGAUCACCGAGAAGAUGCGGUGGUCAAGGUGAUCUUCUGUCUGGUGCCCUAGCGGUCUUCUACUGGUGGGCAAUAAGCGCUGGACCGAGCGAGUGUGCCUUGUCACCGGCAAUGACCGCGGCCUACGCCGCCUCCAGGUUAACCAGGGAGUGCAACGCAGCAGCUUUUAAAAUCAAACAACGAGCCACCCUAACGACAGACAUGAUCGAAUGCAUACAUCCGGUGUUUGCGAAGUUGUUCGAAACACACGUAUGCAAGUAAACCGAGUGAAGAGAAACCUUUUCCCAUCCUGGCACAAUCCAUCCUUGCACGAUUUUACCGAAGUCCGUAUGGAAUAAUCAAAAUUACUAUGAUUCAAAGUUAGAUCCCUUAAAAUUGAAGAUGUCCCCUUUCGUCGAUUGGUAGAAAAUAGCACGAGGUAACUGGUUAUUUCGCAGUAUCCGUGAUCACCGGAUAUAUUUUUAUGUAUAAAAUACAGAUGCUUUUAUUUCUUCGGAAGUGUAAAGUAAUAAAAAUAAAUACUAGCGUUCGGUAUACAUAACAUUAAAAAUAUGAAUUCUAUGUGCCUCAUUAGUUAGUUCGUACUCUUUCUAAUGAUAAAAUCUACUGGUACAUUUUCUAAUUUUUAUACACGUUAAAAACUCGCGCCACGUAAAAUUUCGCACCCCCACUGAACACGCAGCGUCAGUUCGAUAGAAAUUCUUGAGUCCUUAAGUACAAAUAUGCAUAAGUAUUUAUAUCGGGAAUCAUGGUUCGUACCGAUGUACGAACGUGCCAUGGAGUUAUCUAAUCUUAUAAAUAAAUUUUUAAUACUGAUUACUGUAGUAUCAUGAAAUCUACAAACAUAAGAGUAAGACCGAAUUAUGCAUGGAAUCAAGAGAUAAUUAGGAUUGACUCGUUCUUUCUAGAGUGGCAAACGAAUCUAACAUUACACCGCAGUCUCAUCUCAAGUCCCAUUGUAGGCAGCCA